AGAGAGAGACAUGCGCGCAUAUCAAUAAGCGGAGGAAAAGAAACUAACAAGGAUUCCCCUAGUAACGGCGAGUGAAGCGGGAAGAGCUCGAAAUUUGAAAUCUUAAAGGGUUUCCCUUUACGAAUUGUAGUUUAAAGAAGUGUUUUCUGUUGAGGUUUUGGUAAAAGUUCUUUGGAAUAGGACAUCAUAGAGGGUGAGAAUCCCGUAUUUGACCUUUACUUUCAACUUUGUGAUACACUUUCAAAGAGUCGGAUUGUUUGGGAAUGCAGUCCAAAAUGGGUGGUAAAUUUCAUCUAAAGCUAAAUAUUGGCGAGAGACCGAUAGCGAACAAGUACCGUGAGGGAAAGAUGAAAAGAACUUUGAAAAGAGAGUUAAACAGUACGUGAAAUUGUCAAAAGGGAAGCGUUUGACACCAGUGUUGUUUUUCUGAAAAUCAAUUAAAGAACUGUUUAUGCUAAGUUGUUUAGACUUUAUCAGCUAACUGUUUAGUUUUGAGCUUUUCUUUAAUGCACUUUUCAGUUAACAAGUCAACAUCAAUUUCUUUUGCUGUAAAAAAGCUUGAGGAAGGUGGCUUGAGAUUCGUCUUAAGUGUUUAUAGCCUCUUGCCUAUGCAGUCGGAGAGAUUGAGGUCUGCAGCGUAGAUCCUUCGGGGCUAAAUGCAUUUGUGCUAAGUUAUAACAUUUUAUAGACAACUUGUUGACUAUGAUUUGUCUUGUAGCUUACUCGCUUAUGUUAUUUUACCUACGCUUAGGAUGUUGAGCGCAUGUCUCUCUCU
rnacentral:rRNA from 1 species